rnacentral:rRNA from 1 species
ACGGGUGAGUAACACGUGGAUAACCUACCUAUAAGACUGGGAUAACUUCGGGAAACCGGAGCUAAUACCGGAUAAUAUAUUGAACCGCAUGGUUCAAUAGUGAAAGACGGUUUUGCUGUCACUUAUAGAUGGAUCCGCGCCGCAUUAGCUAGUUGGUAAGGUAACGGCUUACCAAGGCAACGAUGCGUAGCCGACCUGAGAGGGUGAUCGGCCACACUGGAACUGAGACACGGUCCAGACUCCUACGGGAGGCAGCAGUAGGGAAUCUUCCGCAAUGGGCGAAAGCCUGACGGAGCAACGCCGCGUGAGUGAUGAAGGUCUUCGGAUCGUAAAACUCUGUUAUUAGGGAAGAACAAAUGUGUAAGUAACUAUGCACGUCUUGACGGUACCUAAUCAGAAAGCCACGGCUAACUACGUGCCAGCAGCCGCGGUAAUACGUAGGUGGCAAGCGUUAUCCGGAAUUAUUGGGCGUAAAGCGCGCGUAGGCGGUUUUUUAAGUCUGAUGUGAAAGCCCACGGCUCAACCGUGGAGGGUCAUUGGAAACUGGAAAACUUGAGUGCAGAAGAGGAAAGUGGAAUUC